rnacentral:misc_RNA from 1 species
UCAAUUGCUGCACCGACAAUUGCCGCAUCUCUCGACUGCCGGUACCUCAGUGGGUUAAAGGAGGAGAGGGAGGAUGCGGCAAGGAUCCUUGAAGAGGCUGGCAUUGGUGCUUUCGCCGCACAUUUGGUGGAUAAGAAGCGACUGAUUAAUGAUGUGCGACAGGCGCUGUAUGCGUCUAAGAUCUGCAGCUAUGCUCAGGGGAUGAAUUUGCUCCGUGCAAAGAGCGCUGAGAAGGGGUGGGACCUCAAUCUCGGGGAGCUUGCGAGGAUCUGGAAGGGAGGGUGCAUUAUCAGGGCGAAGUUUCUCGACCGGAUCAAGCAGGCGUAUGAGCGGAACCGGGG